rnacentral:rRNA from 1 species
AUACGUAGGGUGCAAGCGUUAAUCGGAAUUACUGGGCGUAAAGCGUGCGCAGGCGGUUCGGAAAGAAGGAUGUGAAAUCCCAGGGCUCAACCUUGGAACUGCAUUCUUAACUACCGAACUAGAGUAUGUCAGAGGGGGGUAGAAUUACGCGAGUAGCAGUGCAAUGCGUAGAUAUGCGGAGGAAUACCGAUGGCGAAGGCAGCCCCCUGGGAUAAUACUGACGCUCAUGCACGAAAGCGUGGGUAGCAAACAGGAUUAGAUACCCUGGUAGUCCACGCCCUAAACGAUGUCAACUAGCUGUUGGGCCCUUCGGGGCUUAGUAGCGUAGCUAACGCGUGAAGUUGACCGCCUGGGGAGUACGGUCGCAAGAUUAAAACUCAAAGGAAUCGACGGGG